GCAAAAAGACCAAAAAAAAAAAAAAAAAAUAGAAAGGCACUGUCCUGAUUAUUUUGAUUAUCUGUAUCUCUGUGAGAAUGAGUCACAUCUCAUAGGCCCCCAGCCCACAUCUGCCCUACAGCAGGUAUGACACAGGCCCCAAGUUCACAUGAUGACACAACUCUGAUCUUCCUGCAGACCCAGUUCCAAGGCUCCAGCCAUCCUGGAUCUCACUAGAGGCCUGCUGCCCAAUGGCCGUCCCAGUGCCCUGGGAGCAGGAUGGCUUUCUUCGAGUGAUGGUGGAGGAUGCUGAGGCCAGCUUCCCCCAGGUCCAGGAAUCUAACUCUGGUCACACCUCCCACCCGCUUCCGGCACUUCUGCUUUAAGGAGGCCUCCAACCCAUAGGAGGCCCUGGCCCGGCCGCGUGAACUCUGCCACGAGUGGCUGAGGCCCAAGAUGCACUCCAAGGAACAGAUGCUGGAGCUGCAGGUGCUGGAGCUGUUCCUGGGCACGCUGCCCCCCAAGAUCCAGGCCUGGGUGGGGGCCCAGUGCCCCAAGAGUAGCGAGGAGGCUGCUGUGCUGGUGGAGGAUCUGACUCAGGCGCUGGACAAGAGAGACACAGUGGAAGAGGCAGGGUGGCUGCAGGGUCAAGCCCUUGCCAGCUGAUCCUGGGCCUUUGACCCGAGCUGGCUCUUUAGUCCCACACAAGCCCUGCACACCUAGCUGGAGACUGGGUGACACCAGGAGAGGUGACAAGAGCUGGAGAGCGACAGAGGAGCCAACCGCUAGUGGGGUGGGGGGUGCCUCACAGUGGCAAAAAGGCCCCCACCUUCAGCCACCGGCACCUCUGGGAGCCCUUCCUGCAACCCCCACUUGGAGUGGAGCGGUGGUCGUCCUUCUCCGGGUUCCAGAAGGUGUGGCCUUUGAAAGGAUGCAGCUAGCAGACCACACAAGAUCGCGCUACCUGGCUUUCCAGCACCUGCCCUGGGGCUGGGGGGCAGGGAGGGGUGCUGGGGGGGGGCCAGAUUCCGACCUUCCCCGCCCACCGGCACCCUGUCAGCCAGCCCCAUACUCACAUACACUAGUUGUUUUUAUAUAUGCAUAUAUAUUAUGGUUGUAUAUUAAAAAGAGAAAAACAGGAGUUCCCGUCGUGGCGCAGUGGUUAACGAAUCCGGUUAGGAACCAUGAGGUUGCGGGUUCGGUCCCUGCCCUUGCUCAGUGGGUUAACGAUCCGGCGUUGCCGUGAGCUGUGGUGUAGGUUGCAGACGCGGCUCGGAUCCCGAGUUGCUGUGGUUCUGGCGUAGGCCAGUGGCUACAGCUCCAAUUCAACCCCUAGCCUGGGAACCUCCAUAUGCUGCGGGAGCGGCCCAAGAAAUAGCAACAACAACAACAACAACAAAAAAGACAAAAGACAAAAAAAA
rnacentral:lncRNA from 1 species